AUACUCACCCAUUCCACAGACGAGCACACUGAGGGUCAGAGAGGUUCGGCCACUCUCUGCAAGUUCAGCCAGUGUGUGCACAGCCAUCAUCUUAGAUUCGGUCACUUCUCUUUGUUUGUUAAUCCCAUCCUGGAAAAGGUUCUGUUUUCCAUGGAGGGAUCGAUGCACAAUUCCCAAGUCAAUUAAUCCAUGUAUGUGGAAGGUGGGCUUCGAAACAUGGACUUUUGCUCCAAUAGGUGAUGUACGUGGUGCAGUGUUCAGUAAAUGUCGGAAGUUGU